GACGAACGCUGGCGGCGUGCUUAACACAUGCAAGUCGAACGGAAAGGCCCUGCUUGCAGGGUGCUCGAGUGGCGAACGGGUGAGUAACACGUGGGUGAUCUGCCCCUUACUUUGGGAUAAGCCUGGGAAACUGGGUCUAAUACUGGAUAGGACCAUGCUGUAGGUGGUGUGGUGGAAAGAUUAGUUUCGGUAAGGGAUGAGCUCGCGGCCUAUCAGCUUGUUGGUGGGGUAAUGGCCUACCAAGGCGUCGACGGGUAGCCGGCCUGAGAGGGUGGACGGCCACAUUGGGACUGGGAUACGGCCCAGACUCCUACGGGAGGCAGCAGUGGGGAAUAUUGCACAAUGGGCGCAAGCCUGAUGCAGCGACGCCGCGUGGGGGAUGACGGCCUUCGGGUUGUAAACUCCUUGCAGCCAUGACGAAGCCCUUGUGGUGACGGUAGUGGUAGAAGAAGCACCGGCUAACUACGUG
rnacentral:rRNA from 1 species